rnacentral:lncRNA from 1 species
CCAUAUCCCAUCAAAGCAACCUUUGACAAUAGAGUGCUCCGAAAGUGAUCACACUUAGUGAAAUAUACUCCUAUAUAUCACCCAUAUGCCAUACCCACAUCACCAUAUGCUUUGAUUAAAAAGACAACCAACUAAUAUGGCACACAAUGACCUACACUCGAUACAAUUAUCAUCAUUGUAACAAUUGUAUCAUUUAGUCACAAGUAAGAUUUAAGAACCAUACAA